rnacentral:rRNA from 1 species
GAGUUUGAUCCUGGCUCAGAACGAACGCUGGCGGCGUGCCUAACACAUGCAAGUCGAACGGAUUUGAGGGGCUUGCUCCUCAAGUUAGUGGCGCACGGGUGAGUAACGCGUAGAUAAUCUGCCUGAUGAUCUGGGAUAACACUUCGAAAGAGGUGCUAAUACCGGAUAAGCCCACGAAGUCCUAGGACUUUGCGGGAAAAGGGGGGGACCUUCGGGCCUUCUGUCAUCAGAUGAGUCUGCGUACCAUUAGCUAGUUGGUAGGGUAAUGGCCUACCAAGGCUACGAUGGUUAGCUGGUUUGAGAGAAUGAUCAGCCACACUGGAACUGAGACACGGUCCAGACUCCUACGGGAGGCAGCAGUGGGGAAUUUUGCGCAAUGGGCGAAAGCCUGACGCAGCAACGCCGCGUGAGUGAUGAAGGCUUUCGGGUCGUAAAGCUCUGUCGAGGGGAAAGAAGUGUAUUGUGGUUAAUACCCGCGAUACUUGACGGUACCCCUAAAGGAAGCACCGGCUAACUCCGUGCCAGCAGCCGCGGUAAUAC